rnacentral:lncRNA from 1 species
GUCCAGCAAACGACGGCAAUGUUGCCAGAUUCCUUUUAGCGGGAAUUUUAAAAUUUUAUAGCAGUUUGGUUUUAAAUUUGACAGUCCUGUUUUCUCAAGUCAAAAAUCUUAACCUUACUUUUACAAGUGAUUAGGAUUAUUAUUUUAUUUACAUGUAAAUUGAAACAAUAAAUAUUGUGCUGUGUCAUAAUUUCAAACUCAUUAUGUUGCAGUAUUUUCCAGUUGAUAAAAUUGCAAUUCAAAAACUUUUAGGCAGAUUUGCACUGUAAAGAUGGCACAGGAAGAGAACAAGAGUACAAGAACAUGAAACAUCUUAUUAUGAAUGUAUAUGUAUGUGAUCCUCAAAAAAUUAUUUUACAAAACAAGAUAGAGAAAGAGCUUUAAAAUCCCAAGGAUCCUGCAAAAUGGUUAUUUGGUGUACUAGUUGAAUAAUAAUAUCUAAAAAUAUUCAAACUAUUUUAAAACACAUUAUGGGCAUGAGGAUGAUAUAGAGCACUUACAUAAAUACCAAAAUCAGAUAAAUAUCUCUUCAAAGUUUAUUUUGAGACUUUCUUCAACAAUUAAACUUCAGACUGUUCAGGAUAGCAUAAUAGCAUAGGAGGCGAAAUAAAAAGAAUUGAUUUACUUACAAGAAAAGAUAUCACAAACAUUAAACUCUAUUAUGGCAUUGAUUUGAAAGAUGGGUAUAUGUACAAUGAUGAUGCAACCAGUGUUUAUUUUUGGGUUGAAUGCUUACAGACUCAUGUCCAAUAUUAUUUUACAAACAACAGGGCAUACUAAUGGAUAUUCAUUCUGAAUUUAACAUUUAUGAUUUUUGUCUUAUUUUCCUUAAUACUGUGCCAAAAGGAAAUGUUAAUUAAGUUUGGUAAAUCCUUUAUUGCAAUCGAUGGAACUCAUGGGCUCAAUUCCUAUGACUUUGAACUUAUGACAGUAUUAGUAAAAGAUGAAUUUGGGAAUGGAUUUUGUACUGCUUUCUUAUUUUCAAAUAGAAAAGAUACCUACUUUAAUUCACCACUUUUUUUUAAAUACACGUCUGUGUUGGUAUUAUAUGUAUAGUCAAAUGUUUUCAUAUCAGGCAUAAGCGACACCUUGUACAAUGCCUCGUCAAAUGUAAUGGGUAUUACUCCUAAUAGACUGUUAAGUGCCUGGCACAUAGAUAGGGCAUGGUAAGUAAAUCUUAAUAAAAUAUCUGAUUCUGAAAAAAAUCCUAUUAUGUAUACAAGAUGUAUUAAUGAUGGUUUAGAGAGUAUUAAUAGCUUUUUGGGUAGACUUCAAGUGAUGCAGAUACAUACAAUUUUAGUAAGUAUUUCCAGUAUAACUACUGCAAUAACAUCCAACAAUGGGCCUAUUGUUAUAGGAAGGGGUUGUGGAAUUAAUACCAAUAUCCCACAUAACAAUUUCAUGUUCUUAGUAGAUUCAUAGAACAUACUUUUCAGAAAAAGUAUAUACUUAGAAUAUGCGUAAUUACCAUUGCGAAUGUGCAGAGCAUAUACUGAGUAUAUACUACAUUACAGUACUUAAACGUUCUAUGUAUAUACUUAGAAUGUACUACCGCACUUCUUUUCAGUAUAUACCAAGAACAUACUUUUUAGAAGAUUCUAAGGAGGUGCUAUAAACCUUCUAUUUAUAUACUUAGAAUGUACUAUCGCACAUAUUUUUAGUAUAUGGGAAGAAUAUUCCAAGGAAGUGCUAUAUACCUUCUAGUUAUAUACUUAGAAUGUACUAUCGCACAUAUUUUUCGUAUAUGGGAAGAAUAUUCCAAGGAAGUGCUAUAUACCUUCUAUGUAUAUACUUAGAAUGUACUAUCGCACAUAUUUUUAGUAUAUGGGAAGAAUAUUCCAAGGAUGUGCUGUAUUUCGCAGAAGUAUGUUUUCAACAUCACCCAAUCUCAUCCUAUAGGUUCUACCAAAGAAUACUAAGUAUUCUUUGGUUCUACUAAUAUAUUAUAUUUACAUAUUCUAAUUGCAUAUGAGAAUGUAGUUAUUACAUUCUACAAUAUUACGUAAAAAGUAAGUAUAAAAUAUAUAAACUUUAGUUAGUUAUAUAGGUACCUAUGUAUAAUAAAUAUUAUAUGGGUAAGUAGCCUAUAUAUAAAAUAUAAGUUAUAUUUAGUUAUUAUGUGCACAUCAAAAUAAAAAUGCUGCUUAUAUAAUUAUAUAAUAGCCAAAUAUAUAUAAUAUGUAUGUAAAUUACUAAAAUUUAUAGGUAUCUAUAUACAUUAUACAUACUUUUACUUACUAGGUAUUUAGGAAAUAUUGAAGUACCAAUAUCAAUUUAUUAUUUUCAAACUGCUUUUUAUGUUCUUAAAAAUGUUUUAGUCCUUGUAGCUAGAAAUACUUGGUCCUACCUUACAGCGUAGACAUAAAUGCAUAACUGUACUGGAAACUAUUUUCAUAUUUUGCUCUUUUGUUACCUACCCCCUUCCCUUGUGCAGGUAUAAAAUGCACUGCAAGGGUCAGAAUGACAAUGAAUGGCCGUUUCCGGAUUCCCGAAAAUUAUAGGUAAAAAUACUUAUGGUAUAAACUCAAAUCAAAAUGGUAUAUUCAUUUCAACUGAAAACGAAACGAGAAUUUCUCAUUUUUCUUCAAUAGAAUUAAGUUUUAAACUUUUUACCAUACAAUUAAAACGGUUAAAAAAAUGAAUUAGAUAGUUCACUAGUACCUACCAAAAUACAUAAAUUUGAUUAAUUAUUCUUAACGCGAAGUUGAUAAUCUAUAGGCUAACAUUAUUCUUCUUCCUAUAGGUACAUACAGUAUAUUCUUUUUAAGAUAUUUUAAAAGUAUAUACAAGUAUGUGUUAAGCAUAUACUUUUGCAUAUACUUACGCAUAUACUAAGAAUAUUCGAUUAAGGUAUAUUCUAAGAAUAAACUUUUACGAACAUUCCGAGAUACUACGUACCCGAAUGUGCUCAGUAUAUUCGGUGCAAGAAUAUUCUUUGAGGCACAUGCAAAGAACAUGAAAUUUAGAAUGUUUUUUAUGGUACAUGCUAUGCUUGUACUACGCAUAUACUAAAAAGGAUAUACUUCGACGAAUGUUGGUAGGAUAUGCUUAGAACAUGAUGCGAACAUCAUUGUUAUGUGGGAUGACCAUUCAAAAUUUUCAUAAAAUUUUGGAUAAAAGGGUAUCCAUUAGUUGUUAUAAGUUAAGUUUAAAACUUGGCACUCAUGGAGAGCUAUACCAUAAUAUAUAAUAGGUAUAUCUCAUAAUAUUACAUCUCAUAUUGCUCACUCAUUACAAUAGUGAGCAAUAUGAGAUAUAACAUAUUAUAGUAUAAGUCUCUGUGCAUGACCAGAUUAACAUGUUUGGUGCCCAUCUCGAACAAGCUCCACUUGGCUGGUACCACAUACUUAAAUCAUUUAUUUAGUUACACAGUACUACUCACAUAACUUAUGUGUCGUCAGUACCUUCCGUAAAACCGUCGUGAUGCUACCCAUACGUCAUGGCCACUGAAUGUGUUAAAGCUUGUUAAUGUAGGAGAGUUAUACUAAAAUAUAUAUCUUAUAUUAUAUUGCCUUAAAUAGAAAAAAUAUCUUAUUUAAAUUGUAUCCAUGUAAGUUUUCAUUUAAUGAAAUAAACCUGUGAUGAAAUAAAUCAA